rnacentral:misc_RNA from 1 species
GAUGAAGAACGUAGCGAAAUGCGAUAAGUAAUGUGAAUUGCAGAGUUCAGUGAAUCAUCGAGUCUUUGAACGCACAUUGCGCCCCCUGGUAUUCCGGGGGGCAUGCCUGUCCGAGCGUCAUUGCUGCCCUCAAGCACGGCUUGUGUGUUGGGCCCCCGUCCCCGGUUUCCCCCGGGGACGGGCCCGAAAGGCAGCGGCGGCACCGCGUCCGGUCCUCGAGCGUAUGGGGCUUUGUCACCCGCUCUGUAGGCCCGGCCGGCGCCAGCCGACACCCAACUUUAUUUCUAAGGUUGACCUCGGAUCAGGUAGGGAUACCCGCUGAACUUAAGCAUAUCAAUAAGCGGAGGA